CAGCAGCCGCGGGAACACGUAGGGUGCAAGCGUUAAUCGGAAUUACUGGGCGUAAAGCGUGCGCAGGCGGUUAUAUAAGACAGAUGUGAAAUCCCCGGGCUCAACCUGGGAACUGCAUUUGUGACUGUAUAGCUAGAGUACGGCAGAGGGGGAUGGAAUUCCGCGUGUAGCAGUGAAAUGCGUAGAUAUGCGGAGGAACACCGAUGGCGAAGGCAAUCCCCUGGGCCUGUACUGACGCUCAUGCACGAAAGCGUGGGGAGCAAGCAGGAUUAGAGACCCCAGUAGUCCCUGUCUCUUAUCC
rnacentral:rRNA from 1 species